AAUCUACCUAGUAGAAGGGGAUAGCCCGGGGAAACCCGGAUUAAUACCGUAUACCUCCUUCGGGAGAAAGAAGGCCUCUCUUUGAAGCUUUCACUAUUAGAUGAGCCUGCGUAAGAUUAGCUUGUUGGUGAGGUAAAGGCUCACCAAGGCGACGAUCUUUAGCUGGUCUGAGAGGACGAUCAGCCACAUUGGGACUGAGACACGGCCCAGACUCCUACGGGAGGCAGCAGUGGGGAAUAUUGGACAAUGGGCGCAAGCCUGAUCCAGCCAUACCGCGUGUGUGAAGAAGGCCUUCGGGUUGUAAAGCACUUUAAGCAGGGAGAAAAAGUUAUAAGUUAAUACCUUAUAACCGUGAUGUUACCUGCAGAAUAAGCACCGGCGAAUUCCGUGCCAGCAGCCGCGGUAAUACGGAAGGUGCAAGCGU
rnacentral:rRNA from 1 species